GGGAAGGUAGCUCAGUGGUUAGAGUGCUUGCCUUGCAUGCAUGAGGCCCUGGGUUCGAUUCCUCAGCACCA
rfam:Dipodomys ordii contig_11979, whole genome shotgun sequence.